rnacentral:rRNA from 1 species
CCUACGGGAGGCAGCAGUAGGGAAUCUUCCACAAUGGACGCAAGUCUGAUGGAGCAACGCCGCGUGAGUGAAGAAGGGUUUCGGCUCGUAAAGCUCUGUUGUUGGUGAAGAAGGACAGGGGUAGUAACUGACCUUUGUUUGACGGUAAUCAAUUAGAAAGUCACGGCUAACUACGUGCCA